CCUACGGGAGGCAGCAGUGAGGAAUAUUGGUCAAUGGGCGGAAGCCUGAACCAGCCAAGUCGCGUGCGGGAUGAAGGCCCUACGGGUCGUAAACCGCUUUUGCACGGGGAUAACACCCUCCAUUUGUGGAGGUCUGCAGGUACCGUGCGAAUAAGGGUCGGCUAAUUCCGUGCCAGCAGCCGCGGUAAUACGGAGGGCGCGAGCGUUAUCCGGAUUCAUUGGGCUUAAAGGGAGCGUAGGCGGGCGUUCAAGUGAGCGUUAAAAUCGCGCGGCUCAACCGCGCGCCGCAGUUGAAACUGGACGCCUUGAGUUCACAACAGGCAGGCGGAAGUCGUGGUGUAGCGGUGAAAUGCGUAGAUAUCACGAGGAACCCCGGUUGCGAAGGCAGCCUGCCGGAGUGCGACUGACGCUGAGGCUCGAAGGUGCGGGUAUCAAACAGGAUUAGAUACCCCUGUAGUC
rnacentral:rRNA from 1 species